GCACACCUUGUGGGAAAAGCAAGAACUGUGCAUUGUCAAGUGUCAACGCUAGCGGACGCUAGUGAGAAUUGAGAACUGUCAACUGUGAUGACAAGCUUAAAAAUGUUGAUUGAUUGUAUUGUAAUUCAUUGAAAUUAACUACUGCUACUGGUCUGUUGUUAUUUAAACAUUAUAAGUUGAGGGACAAGAAGAUUCUUCUGAUUCGGGUGAAGAAUCAGAGCCAAAUGCCUAAAAACUGAGCGUUGGCAAGUUAGGUAGUGCUACGAUGACGACAACGGUGACGAACUCAUCAGAAAAUAUGGGAAAAAGAGACUCUGGUCAAUGUCUACUCGUAUCUACUCCUCAGGGCUGCCUAAAGAAGUCACCAAGCCAAACCAUUUCUCUUCGCCGAGCAUGAAUGUAUUUGGUGCAGCAGAAACCAGUUUGAUUUUUACCACAAGGUUCUAAACUACAGGAUUCUAAUUUAGACUUUAUGAGAAGUCAUAUCCUAUGAAGAAAUAGCUGACUACAGUCAGCAUGGUCCCUUGUUUGGUAACCUGUUGGCUGCUACCCGUGAAUCUCCCUUUCUACUUCCUUACACAGACCCUCUUGAUUUGAGGGUAACUCCUUCGCUACUUAUCAUGGACUUCAUCCAUUGGUGAAAACUGACGAGAGAAUGCUGUGAUUCAAGACUGAUAAAUUGUGUAGUUGUUAGAUAAAUUACAAGUGCAUAUCUGGG